ACAGAGCAUAUUUACUCUAAUCCCGGAGGUAUGCAGCUCCAUGUCAGAUCAGCUGGCUUGCCUGGUCCUCCUACCCCCCUCCUUAGCAACAGUUUAAAUUUCAAACUAAUUCCCCAGUUUGUUCUUCGUCUUCGCGGGCUGGAUGGAGACAGCCCGGCCUGCCGGUCUCAAAUCCCUCUCUAUUGCUCUUGCCACCACUGGGUGGGUCAGCCCGGUCUGCAGUUGCAAGUUGGGUGACAGCUGGCUCUCCCUCCAAUACUCUUCUGCACGUCUCCAAAACCUGGAGCAAGGGGAGCUGCAGCCACCCACAAAGUGAGAGGCAAUGGACAGUGGGGUAUAGUGCCACCUCCUAAUCCAGUGGGGAAGGAUCCCCUCUGUUAAGGAGGGCGAGAGGAUCAAGGUUGAAGGUGUCGCAGUACCACCCCACCCCCACGCCGCGUACCUUUCUGGCGCCACGCUCUGCGAACUCCCGAGCGAGGUGGCGCCCGAUGCCUCUCCCACCGCCGGUGAUGAGGACUGACUCCCGGGACAGGUCCCGAAGCUUGGGGGGCAACACCAGUCCCACGGCUGCUUUGGUCAUCAGAUAGAUCAUUUGCAGAGGGAACACUACCAGCGCGCCCAGCCAUUUCCACACCAUCCUCUGCGCGGCGGAGCCGGGCACGGGGUGGGGGGAGGAGGUAGGAGGCGGUGGACGAAACUCUCCGGACUAAGCAAAACAGAAAUUAAAAAAAAAAAAAAAGAAAAAGAAAACACCCCAAA